rnacentral:rRNA from 1 species
CGGUUAAGUUAGAAAGGGCGCACGGUGGAUGCCUUGGCACUAGGAGCCGAUGAAGGACGGGACGAACACCGAUAUGCUUCGGGGAGCUGUAAGCAAGCUUUGAUCCGGAGAUUUCCGAAUGGGGAAACCCACCACUCGUAAUGGAGUGGUAUCCAUAUCUGAAUACAUAGGAUAUGAGAAGGCAGACCCGGGGAACUGAAACAUCUAAGUACCCGGAGGAAGAGAAAGCAAAUGCGAUUCCCUGAGUAGCGGCGAGCGAAACGGGACCAGCCCAAACCAAGAGGCUUGCCUCUUGGGGUUGUAGGACACUCUGUACGGAGUUACAAAGGAACGAGGUAGAUGAAGAGGUCUGGAAAGGCCCGCCAUAGGAGGUAACAGCCCUGUAGUCAAAACUUCGUUCUCUCCUGAGUGGAUCCUGAGUACGGCGGAACACGUGAAAUUCCGUCGGAAUCCGGGAGGACCAUCUCCCAAGGCUAAAUACUCCCUAGUGACCGAUAGUGAACCAGUACCGUGAGGGAAAGGUGAAAAGCACCCCGGAAGGGGAGUGAAAGAGAUCCUGAAACCGUGUGCCUACAAGUAGUCAGAGCCCGUUAACGGGUGAUGGCGUGCCUUUUGUAGAAUGAACCGGCGAGUUACGAUCCCGUGCAAGGUUAAGCAGAAGAUGCGGAGCCGCAGCGAAAGCGAGUCUGAAUAGGGCGAAUUGAGUACGUGGUCGUAGACCCGAAACCAGGUGAUCUACCCAUGUCCAGGGUGAAGUUCAGGUAACACUGAAUGGAGGCCCGAACCCACGCACGUUGAAAAGUGCGGGGAUGAGGUGUGGGUAGGGGUGAAAUGCCAAUCGAACCUGGAGAUAGCUGGUUCUCUCCGAAAUAGCUUUAGGGCUAGCCUCAAGGUAAGAGUCUCGGAGGUAGAGCACUGAUUGGACUAGGGGCCCCUACCGGGUUACCGAAUUCAGUCAAACUCCGAAUGCCGAUGACUUAUCCUUGGGAGUCAGACUGCGAGUGAUAAGAUCCGUAGUCGAAAGGGAAACAGCCCAGACCGCCAGCUAAGGUCCCAAAGUAUACGUUAAGUGGAAAAGGAUGUGGAGUUGCUUAGACAACCAGGAUGUUGGCUUAGAAGCAGCCACCAUUUAAAGAGUGCGUAAUAGCUCACUGGUCGAGUGACUCUGCGCCGAAAAUGUACCGGGGCUAAACGUAUCACCGAAGCUGCGGACUGUUCUUCGAACAGUGGUAGGAGAGCGUUCUAAGGGCUGUGAAGCAAGACCGGAAGGACUUGUGGAGCGCUUAGAAGUGAGAAUGCCGGUAUGAGUAGCGAAAGAGGGGUGAGAAUCCCCUCCACCGAAUGCCUAAGGUUUCCUGAGGAAGGCUCGUCCGCUCAGGGUUAGUCGGGACCUAAGCCGAGGCCGAAAGGCGUAGGCGAUGGAUAACAGGUUGAUAUUCCUGUACCACCUCCUCACCAUUUGAGCAAUGGGGGGACGCAGGAGGAUAGGGUAAGCGCGGUAUUGGAUAUCCGCGUCCAAGCAGUUAGGCUGGGAAAUAGGCAAAUCCGUUUCCCGUGAAGGCUGAGCUGUGAUGGCGAGCGAAUUAUAGUAGCGAAGUUCCUGAUUCCACACUGCCAAGAAAAGCCUCUAGCGAGGUGAGAGGUGCCCGUACCGCAAACCGACACAGGUAGGCGAGGAGAGAAUCCUAAGGUGAUCGAGAGAACUCUCGUUAAGGAACUCGGCAAAAUGACCCCGUAACUUCGGGAGAAGGGGUGCUCUGUUAGGGUGCAAGCCCGAGAGAGCCGCAGUGAAUAGGCCCAGGCGACUGUUUAGCAAAAACACAGGUCUCUGCGAAGCCGUAAGGCGAAGUAUAGGGGCUGACGCCUGCCCGGUGCUGGAAGGUUAAGAGGAGCGCUUAGCGUAAGCGAAGGUGCGAAUUGAAGCCCCAGUAAACGGCGGCCGUAACUAUAACGGUCCUAAGGUAGCGAAAUUCCUUGUCGGGUAAGUUCCGACCCGCACGAAAGGCGCAACGAUCUGGGCACUGUCUCAACGAGAGACUCGGUGAAAUUAUAGUACCUGUGAAGAUGCAGGUUACCCGCGACAGGACGGAAAGACCCCGUGGAGCUUUACUGCAGCCUGAUAUUGAAUGUUGGUACAGCUUGUACAGGAUAGGUAGGAGCCUUGGAAACCGGAGCGCUAGCUUCGGUGGAGGCAUCGGUGGGAUACUACCCUGGCUGUAUUGACCUUCUAACCCGCCGCCCUUAUCGGGCGGGGAGACAGUGUCAGGUGGGCAGUUUGACUGGGGCGGUCGCCUCCUAAAAGGUAACGGAGGCGCCCAAAGGUUCCCUCAGAAUGGUUGGAAAUCAUUCGCAGAGUGUAAAGGCACAAGGGAGCUUGACUGCGAGACCUACAAGUCGAGCAGGGACGAAAGUCGGGCUUAGUGAUCCGGUGGUUCCGCAUGGAAGGGCCAUCGCUCAACGGAUAAAAGCUACCCCGGGGAUAACAGGCUUAUCUCCCCCAAGAGUCCACAUCGACGGGGAGGUUUGGCACCUCGAUGUCGGCUCAUCGCAUCCUGGGGCUGUAGUCGGUCCCAAGGGUUGGGCUGUUCGCCCAUUAAAGCGGUACGCGAGCUGGGUUCAGAACGUCGUGAGACAGUUCGGUCCCUAUCCGUCGCGGGCGCAGGAAAUUUGAGAGGAGCUGUCCUUAGUACGAGAGGACCGGGAUGGACGCACCGCUGGUGUACCAGUUGUUCUGCCAAGGGCAUCGCUGGGUAGCUAUGUGCGGACGGGAUAAGUGCUGAAAGCAUCUAAGCAUGAAGCCCCCCUCAAGAUGAGAUUUCCCAUUCCGCAAGGAAGUAAGAUCCCUGAAAGAUGAUCAGGUUGAUAGGUCUGAGGUGGAAGUGUGGCGACACAUGGAGCUGACAGAUACUAAUCGAUCGAGGACUUAACCAAUUU